rnacentral:rRNA from 1 species
GACGAACGCUGGCGGCGUGCUUAACACAUGCAAGUCGAACGGAAAGGCCCUGCUUUUGUGGGGUGCUCGAGUGGCGAACGGGUGAGUAACACGUGAGUAACCUGCCCUUGACUUUGGGAUAACUUCAGGAAACUGGGGCUAAUACCGGAUAGGAGCUCCUGCUGCAUGGUGGGGGUUGGAAAGUUUCGGCGGUUGGGGAUGGACUCGCGGCUUAUCAGCUUGUUGGUGGGGUAGUGGCUUACCAAGGCUUUGACGGGUAGCCGGCCUGAGAGGGUGACCGGCCCCAUUGGGACUGAGAUACGGCCCAGACUCCUCCGGGAGGCAGCAGUGGGGAAUAUUGCACAAUGGGCGGACGCCUGAUGCAGCAACGCCGCGUGCGGGAUGACGGCCUUCGGGUUGUAAACCGCUUUCGCCUGUGACGAAGCGUGAGUGACGGUAAUGGGUAAAGAAGCACCGGCUAACUACGUG